rnacentral:lncRNA from 1 species
UUAUGCAUGCAAUAUAGGUUUUUAAGUAGUUUGUAUUACUAUGCUUCUGCUUUGUAAUGUAGACACGUGCGUUUUCUGUAAUGUUGCUUUGAAACAAUGUGUAAUGUGAAAAGCGCUAUACAAAUACAUCUGAAUUGAAUUGAAUAGUAUAUACAAAUCUUUUAGUACAGAAUAGUUAGAAGCUGAUGCGUUAACUUCAGUAGCUGCAGAGCUGCUGGUUGCAUGUGGAGUUUGUUUGAGCUCCGCCUCUAAACCUUUAACCCCCGCAGAAACUAUCUGAACUAUUUCAACACACACACGCAGAGAGAGAGAGAGAAUGUGUGUGUGUGUGUGUCACAGAGAGAGAGAGAGAGAGAGAGAGAGAGAGAGAGAGAGAGAGAGAGAGAGAGAGAGAGAGAGAGAGUAGUAGGUAGUAGGUAGUAGGUAGUAGUAGUUAGGAGAGAGAGAGAGAGAAUGUGUGUGCGUGUGUGAUUUGAUUUCAGUGGAUCAUGGAGCAGCGCUCUGACCGCGGUGUGUCGGAGUCUCCUGGCCGCACGGACGCGCUUCUAACACGGUUACUUUUGUUCCGGAGCCCCGCUGAACGGAGUUAAAGCUGGAGGAUCGGAUCGGUACCGAUGGCUGAUCCUCUGCGGAGGACAAUUCUAGCCAAACUCAGGGGCAAGAAACCCAAAGGGAAAGACGCGAGCACCUCGAACCGGCCGAGAGAAGGUAAAGAAAAAGUUUCUCAAACGCAGACAGAGAGAGAUUACAUUUCACAUGCGAUGAGGUGUGAGGAGAGGUGUGUGAACGCGGAUCCGGUGGCUGCCUUCGGCGGCUACAGCGCGGCUCCCCGGUGCGCUGUGCGUGUCACCGGCGGUCGUGCGGACGCGCACGGGAGCGGGUUCUCAAGGCCCGGGGCCCCCGCUGAUCAAAGCGAGCGCACCGAGCUGAAGCGCGUCCACACGCCGCGGGUCCGCGGAGACUCGAUCGGCUUCAGCGGCUGCGAUUUAAAACCCCGACGAGAGGCUUUAAAGCUAACAGAUGGUCAAGAUCUAAAGAAUAAACAACCAAAUGUUACACUACUCGAGCAAAAGGCCGGGGACAACAUUACGAGCGACUUUGAACGUCACGCCAGGGGCCCCCAGCCUCAUGUGUUUGAUUAUAUAGACGCGGAAAGCGAUUUAAUUCAGGUUAUAGAGAGUUCGCUGGAGUAUCAUGGAGAAUUUAGGAUGCCAGCAUUACAGAGUCCGACUUUUUUCCCCACUGAUCUGGAAAUAACAGUGGCCCCUGGGCUGAGAGACGGGGCCCCUCGACACCACUCAGUCGACAGCGAGGACGACGAUUAUUAUGAUAACCAAACUCUGCCCUUUUAUGAGUCUCACACUCACUUGAAAGAGCGAAAUACGAAUAUAGUUGAGCCAAUAUCGGAGUCGGAAUCUAACGAAACCGACAGACUGAAGUCCCAACUGAAAGAGGCGUAUUAUUUGCUAAUAAACACAAUGCACGACAUCAGUUUCGACGGUCAGGUCGAAGAUAACGGAUUUGUGGAUCAGGCCAGCAGCGCUAGUCAAUCCCACGACAGCGUAAGCACGGAAAGCGACGCGUGUUCGUCCGAAGAACGUAGGAACGAUUCCGAUUCAGCGUUCUUUGCGUUUCUCGGACGAUGUGAGGUGGGACUGACGCAGAGCAGAAGCUUGCAGAAUAUUCGCGACGCGAGUCCCAAACCGACGCUCCAGCGGUCGGUGAGCGAUAGCAAGGUGAAGUACUCGUCAAACCGCGAGGAAGAGCCGCGAGCCGCCGUCGCAUCGGGUCUCGGUGUGCAACAGGCGAACCCUACAGAAACCCUCCCGACGCUUGCUUCCUCGCGCCAAUCCCGCGACGACGCAGCGGUGCCCAAACACCCCGGAGUCACCGUCAACAAGAUGCAAGAGUGGAUGCAGAAAGGUCGCGUGCUUUCGUCCGAGAUGAAGCAGAGGAUCGCAGGUUCCUCGCUGAGAGCCAGUCACGUGAGGAAGCAGACAGGUACGGACGCCCGCUGGCGUGGAGGACCUCACAAUCAUCUCACAAUCUCAGAGAGAGCUUCUUGGUGUCUUUUAACCGGUGCCGGGUUUUUUCCUCCUCUUCCUUCACGACUAAUGCUUAACAGAAGAUUGGCUCCUCUCCACUAACACACUCACUCUCUGAAUAAUUCAUCUCACGCUUGUCUUCUUGGUGAUGGUGGUGGUUUCGUGCUGAUGUUAGCUGAGAAUGUUUAUUGAACAUGCGAGAUGCUCGAACCCUUCUUCUGCUGAUUAGAUGUGUUAUGGGUUAUCAGUGUGUUUUAAACUCGAUCUGCAGCUCUGUCAGGUGUGUAUCCAAGAAAACAUGACAGCUAUCUUCUAUCAUGAAACCAACAGGAAUCGUUGUGAUUUUGCUUGCGUCCAUUACUAAUCCAUCCAGAACUUUGAAUUCCAAACAAAUCUGAAAGUAUCAGGCUACAUUUUGAGACAGAUAUGCUUGCAUGUAAACCAGUGUGUUUGAUAGAUGCAGGCUUGUUUGUUUUUCUGCACACAGGCUUCAAAUGCACAUUUAUAGUCAUGUUUAUCCUACAAGAAAACUACAUGAAGACCAAAACAGGCUUUGUAAAUUGGUUUCCAGGCCAGAUUUAAAGAUCAGCUAUUAACACAAGCAGAGCUCAUCUUGUGUGUUGAAUGUGGCCUUUGGGCAGCUUAUGUAGAAUUAAUAGAGUUGCUCUUUACUGCCAUGCGAGCAGAAUUAGAGGAAGUGGACGUGGCGUUCAUGGAAAUUCAAAAUGCAAUUGCUUUUAUGCAUUUGGCAGAUGCUUUUAUCUGAAGUGACUUAAAGGAACAGUUCACCCUAAAAGGAAAAUGUAAUCCACGAUCUAAUUUGUAGAAAUGUAGCAUUGCGUCAGUGUCUCAUCAAUGGAUGCUCUGCAGUGAAUGGGUGCCGUCAGAAUGAGAGUCCAUAUAUAUAUAAAAUAUAUUAUAUAUAUAAAAUAUAUAAAAUAUAUUGUUUCAGCUUUUGUCUUCUCCAGAUGUUAACUGAUGGACUGGAGUUGUGGAUUACUUGUGGAUUAUUGUGAUGUUUUUAUCAGCUGUUUGGACUCUCAUUCUGACGGCACCCAUUCACUGCAGAGCAUCCAUUGCUGAGACACUGAUGCAAUGCUACAUUUCUACAAACCUGAUGAAGAAACAAACUCAUCUACAUUUUAGACGACCUGAGGAUGAGGACAUGUUCAUCAAUUUUUUUGGGGGGUGAACUAUUUUUUAUUAAGUGAUUAAUUUAUCAGGGCACGUUAUUGCAAAGAAUAACACAACUUGCAACACAAAACUCCUGCAGUGACACACUGGGAUGAACAGAUGGAAAAUACUGAUGUGGAGGACAGGGAGUCUUUCCUGUUAUUCCAUGAGAGAGACUGAAAAACAUCAGCCGAGCUGUAAAUCACUCACAAACACGAUUUUACAACGCAUAGUUUUAAGACUGACUUCACUAGUGCAUCUAUAGGACACCUGAACUCAGUGUUUCUGUAAUGUGAGAGACAAUGUUUGACCAACUACAGCGUUUGAGUCAUGAGUAAAACGAAGGACAAUGAUAAAAUGCAAUGCCUAGAUUACACAGACAAAUCCAUUAUGGUACAGACAGUAGUAUCAGACUAACAAAAAAAGUACAACAAUUCAACAGACACUGCAUCUGGAAAUGAUCUUGAACAUGUGAGUCUGUCUUCACUUCCCUCUGGUCACAUGUCGCAAUCAACAUCCUCAUGCAACCGUCGCAAACAGAAGAAAUUAGUGCUUCAUUAUUAUCAUUACUUUAGAACUAAAUCAAUGGUCGGAAGAACCUAAAAUGUAACCAUGUAUUCUAAAAAAAAUCCUACAGCCAAAAAAAAAAUUAAAAUUUAAGCUUUUUGACAAUGACAAGAGGGGACGGUUAUUAUAUUUAACAAUAAAUAAAUAAAUUACAACUUGAAAUAAAAUAAACAUUAACUGAAAUAAAAUAUAUUUAAAAAAAAACUUCUUUUAGUUAGUUGCCAAGGCAACAUUUCUCAUUUUCAUCUAGUUUAACUGGAUGUACAAAAAUAGCUAAAACUAAGAUUUAUUUUAACUUAUUAUUUAUUAAAAAAAUAUAUAUAUAUUUUUAUAUGUAAAAAACUAAUAAAAAAGGCAAAAACACAAAAAAUACUAAAACUAUACCUAAAAUUAAAAUGAAAAAGAAAUAUAAAAAUAAAGAUGCUUAAAAGUGUAUUUUGCUAAUGAGCCAGUGGUGUUUGUUUUGGUCCGGUGGGAGCUGUUCUCGAGUGAAUUCCCGUCCCAUGGAAACACGGAGCCCCAGGAGGGAAUAUUUGGAAUGCCAAGGCCGUCGUUUCACUUGUUUGCUCUCUGUUCCUGAGGGCUUGAAUGCAGGCGGGGAUUAGAAAAGAGACAUUACACGUUCGUUAAGGUAGGAUUAGUCCGUCCUGUUCUCCACUGCUUAUUUUAAUCUUAGGUGUCUGAGGUUUGAAUGAGUAAUCUGAGCUUAUUUUGGUAGCAUUUGUGUGCUGGUUUUAUUUUAGUAAAACUGGUUAAUCUCACACAAACCUUCAGGAACAUAUUCAAAUCAUAUUUCAACCCUAAUCACCCCCCCAAAAAAUAUAUAUUUUGCUGGAAAGAAAAUGAGACCUGUUUUUGUAUCUAUAAUAUUAUUUGCAUUGUGUCAUUAUUUUCUUGAAAACUAUGCAUUAAUUUGCCCCCUAAAAAAAUUAUGGAAUAUAUAUAUAUAUAAUAAAAAUAUUUAAAUAAUAGAAUUGUAUAAAAAUUGUAAUUAUGAAGUCCCAGCUGCUAUAAAUACAAGUACAUAAUGUAGUAUUUGUUUUACUUCCUUUCAUUUAUGCUGAAUUUAAUCAUUAAAAAAACUCAUUAAUAGGGGGAAAAGUAAAAAAAAAAAUCAUUGUUCCCAGUUAUGAUUUUCUUUACUGUUACUGUAUUUUAAAAUAUCAAGAAUGAGAUUUUUUCACAUUAUAGUAAAAAAAUAAAUAAAAUGAAUAUUAAACUUUUUUAUGCAGAAUAAUUAAUUUGCCCCCUCCCAAAUUAUUUAAAAUAUUUUUUUAUGGAAUAUAUAUAUACAUUUUAGUUAUGAAGUCUCAGCUGCUAUAAAUACAAGUACACAAUGUAGUAUUUGUUUUACUUCCUUUAAUUUAUGCUGAUUUUAAUCAUUAAAAAAACUCAUUAAUAAAGGGGGAAAAAAGAAAGUAAAGAAAAAUCGUUGUUCCCAAUUAUGAUUUUCUUUACUGUUGCUGUAUUUAAAAUAUUGAGAAUGAGAUUUUUUCACAUUAUAGUAAAAAAAAAACUUAAAUUAAACUUAUUUUUUUAUGCAGAAUAACAUUUCUUAGAUUUUUUCUUUUGCUUUUAGGGUGAAAGAUUUGUAAAUAAGAUAAACACACGCAUUCAUUAGAACUGCAGGAACUGCAGCGAUUUGUUGGCAAGCAGUGCAGUAACAUUGUGUCCAGUGUUGCUGUAACGCAGUGAUCUGAUUGGCCGGCGGUGGCGAUGACAUCAUCACGAGACUGAGUGUCAGAAUGUGUUCUCAGGAUGUCUGCAGUCCUGAGCUAAAGAGCGUCGGGAUGUGGCCGCUGUAGUGAUCAUGGGAAUACUCUCGGAUGACAGCAAGAGAGAAACUGGAGCCCAGGACGUGGAGGAGGGGGGCGCUCGUUCCUCUCGAGCCCUGAGGGACACCUGCUCAUUUAAAAGCCCUCAAAACAGCCCGAAACCCAGAGCAAACGUGCUUGUCCACUUUCAAUGCAUUAGACAGAAAUUAGAUUGAAACAUAUAAAAGCAAGUGUGAUAUCUUUUAUAAGGAACACUUUACAAGCCGCACAUCGGAGGGGGAAAGCAGUUUGAAGUAAAGCAAUAGAUCCAGUGUUGAAAACGACAGUGUUGUUAAAAACAUUGACACUUUUUGUGUUUGUGAAGCGAUAGAAAAGUUUAAAACAUGUCAACACAGACAGUUUAUCUGACAUUUUGUUACAUAAUCUACUGACAAUCAGGUGUUUUUUACGUUUAUAGAUCGUGUUUGCUCUGGAGUUUUGGUUGUUUUAGCAUUUAAAAAAAAAAAAAUGUGUAAAAAUUCUCCAAGUAGUUUUCUGGUUGUAUUUUUGUAGUGCUUCGUAAGGUUUGUAUUACUUUUAUUUAGAUUUCCUUGAAAGCUGUUCUGGUUUCUCCCGCUGUGAUUGUUUCGUUGUACGGCUCCUUGUGUGACGGCUUGUUAUCGAAUCCGCCGCUCCAUAUUUAGACGUGUCUGAAGUUCACGCGUGUUUGUGUGUAAGUGUGCGGCUGAUGUGCACGUGUGUGUGUGUGUGUGUGUGUGUGUGUGUAAAUAUUGGGAUGAAGGCGGGACAGGUCUGUUGGCAUGAAUCCUGGGCGCACACACACACACACACACACACACACACACACACACACACACACACACACACACACACACACACACACACACACAGUCACGCUUGUGUCUCUGGACCCCACUGCAAAAACACAGUUUCUGUACAGCUGACUGAACCUCAUCAGUCCUAAAGUGUCUUUACAGAUGCUAUUAGUUUUACAUAUAUGUAUUUUUAUAUAUAUAUAUAUAUAUAUAUAUAUAUAUAUAUAUAUAUAUUCUGAUUUAUUAUGAGUGUUGGAAACAGUUCUGCUGUCUAAUAUAUUUGAUGAAUAAAAGGUUAAAAAGAACUGCAUUUAUUCAAAAUAUUUUUUUUUUUUUUUUUUUUACUUUUUAUUCAUACAAAGUAUACCUAAAAAGUAUCACAUGUUCUAGAAAAAUAUUAAGCAGCAGAACUUGUUUCCUAACUUUGAUAAUGAAUCAUCAUAUUAGAAUGUAUUUACGCCCGAAACCCAGAGCAAACGUGCUUGUCCACUUUCAAUGCAUUAGACAGAAAUUAGAUUGAAACAUAUAAAAGCAAGUGUGAUAUCUUUUAUAAGGAACACUUUACAAGCCGCACAUCGGAGGGGGAAAGCAGUUUGAAGUAAAGCAAUAGAUCCAGUGUUGAAAACGACAGUGUUGUUAAAAAACAUUGACACUUUUUGUGUUUGUGAAGCGAUAGAAAAGUUUAAAACAUGUCAACACAGACAGUUUAUCUGACAUUUUGUUACAUAAUCU